rnacentral:rRNA from 1 species
UACGUAGGGGGCGAGCGUUGUCCGGAUUUAUUGGGCGUAAAGAGCUCGUAGGCGGCUUGGCAAGUCGGGUGUGAAAACUCCAGGCUCAACCUGGAGAUGCCACUCGAGACUGCUAUGGCUAGAGUCCGGUAGGGGACCACGGAAUUCCUGGUGUAGCGGUGAAAUGCGCAGAUAUCAGGAGGAACACCAAUGGCGAAGGCAGCUCGCUGGGACGGUACUGACGCUGAGGCGCGAAAGCGUGGGGAGCAAACAGG